ACACGUAUGAAAGACAAGCCGAUAGACUUUUCUCAAUAAUGUAAGUGGUGGUGCAUGGCCGUUCUUAGUUCGUGGAUUGAUUCGUCUGGUCUAUUCCGAUAACGAGCGAGACCCCAACGUUCCUAGUAGGGGCGGCAGCCAGACACCCGGCGAAAGCCGGGAUCGUUAGCAGCCGCCCAUCGCGACUUCUUAGACGUAUCAGGACCGAAGAGGUCCUUGAAAUGGGUUAAUAACAGGUCAGUCAUGCCCUUAGAUGUUCUGGGCCGCACGCGCGUUACAAUGGCAUGUAUAGAAAGUGCUUUACCAAAAGGGCAUCCCCGGGGCCUAACGGUCUCGGUAAUCCCUAGUCCCUGCCUUGACUGGGACAGACUUUUGAAACUAUUGGUCUCCAACGAGGAAUUUUUAGUAGGCGCGGGUCAUUAACCCGUGCCGA
rnacentral:rRNA from 1 species